rnacentral:miRNA from 1 species
GCGCGAGGGAGGGCUGGAAGGGGAAAGAAGCGGAGACUCCUUCUUUCUUUCCCCUUCCCGCCCUCCCUCGCGCGCCGCCCUUCG